AGCGCGGGAGCAAUCCUGGCGGCGAGUGGCGAACGGGUGAGUAAUAUAUCGGAACGUGCCCAGUAGUGGGGGAUAGCCCGGCGAAAGCCGGAUUAAUACCGCAUACGACCUGAGGGUGAAAGCGGGGGAUCGCAAGACCUCGCGCUACUGGAGCGGCCGAUAUCAGAUUAGCUAGUUGGUGGGGUAAAGGCCUACCAAGGCAACGAUCUGUAGUUGGUCUGAGAGGACGACCAGCCACACUGGGACUGAGACACGGCCCAGACUCCUACGGGAGGCAGCAGUGGGGAAUUUUGGACAAUGGGCGCAAGCCUGAUCCAGCAAUGCCGCGUGCAGGAAGAAGGCCUUCGGGUUGUAAACUGCUUUUGUCAGGGAA
rnacentral:rRNA from 1 species